UACGUAGGGCGCAAGCGUUAUCCGGAAUUAUUGGGCGUAAAGAGCUCGUAGGCGGUUUGUCGCGUCUGCCGUGAAAGUCCGGGGCUCAACUCCGGAUCUGCGGUGGGUACGGGCAGACUAGAGUGAUGUAGGGGAGACUGGAAUUCCUGGUGUAGCGGUGAAAUGCGCAGAUAUUAGCAGGAACACCGGUGGCGAAGGCGGCUAUCUGGACGACAACUGACGCUGAGGCGCGAAAGCGUGGGGAUCAAACAGG
rnacentral:rRNA from 1 species